rnacentral:rRNA from 1 species
AUGGUGCUGGGUAAAUUUCUGCACCUCAAGUAUUUGGAGAUAAAACUUUUCAUGCCAACUCGUUCUCCAGGUUACGACUUCUGUUCUUUGGUUUCUUUUCUUGAUGCUUCUCCCACCUUGAGGACUUUCGUCUUGCGUGUAGAGGCUCCUACCAUGGAAGGUGGUUUAAUUCCUGGAGUCAAUAUGGACGAAGAUUUCUCGUUGGCAAGUUGUGUUCCGAAACACCGACAUCGCAAGCUUAAGAGUGUGUUCAUCACUGGCUUUUGCCCCUGGAAGACAAUGAUUGAGCUAACGAGAUGUAUUCUUGAUUAUGCAACGUCACUGAAGCACCUUACCCUGGACACUACUCGUGGAUAUCAUAGGAGGAGGUGGGGCAACUGUUUCCCUUUGGGUAGGGAUACAAUUAUGGAAGCCCGAAAGGCUAUUGCGGCUAUCAAGACAUACAUAGAGGGGAAAGUACCUCCAAAGAUCAAGUUUAAGGUUCUUGAGCCCUGCAACUGCAAUAAGUGUCAAGAAUGUUGA